UACGGAAGGCAGCAGUGGGGAAUAUUGCACAAUGGGCGAAAGCCUGAUGCAGCUAUGCCGCGUGUAUGAAGAAGGCCUUAGGGUUGUAAAGUACUUUCAUCGGGGAGGAAAAAACAAAACUAAUAAUUUUAUUUCUUGACGUUACCCGAAAAAGAAGCACCGGCUAACUCCGUGCCAGCAGCCGCGGUAAUACGGAGGGUGCUAGCGUUAAUCAGAAUUACUGGGCGUAAAGAGCACGUAGGUGGUUUUUUAAGUCAGAUGUGAAAUCCCUGGGCUUAACCUAGGAACUGCAUUUUGAAACUGAAAUACUAGAGUAUCGUAGAGGGAGGUAGAAUUCUAGGUGUAGCGGUGAAAUGCGUAGAUAUCUGGAGGAAUACCUGUGGCGAAAGCGGCCUCCUAAACGAAUACUGACACUGAGGGUGCGAAAGCGGUGGGGAGCAAACAGGGAUUAGAUACC
rnacentral:rRNA from 1 species